rnacentral:rRNA from 1 species
GUAUCUUCGGAUGCGAGUACAGUGGCGGACGGGUGAGUAAUACAUAGGAAUCUACCCAAUGGAGGGGGAUAGCUCGAGGAAACUCGAAUUAAUACCGCAUAAUCUCCACGGAGUAAAGGGGGCUUCGGCUCUCGCCAUCGGAUGAGCCUAUGCAAGAUUAGCUUGUUGGUAAGGUAAUGGCUUACCAAGGCUACGAUCUUUAGCUGGUUUGAGAGGACGACCAGCCACAUCGGGACUGAGACACGGCCCGGACUUCUACGGAAGGCAGCAGUAGGGAAUAUUGGACAAUGAGCGAAAGCUUGAUCCAGCCAUGCCGCGUGUGCGAUGAAGACCUUAGGGUUGUAAAGCACUUUAGGUUAUGAGAAAAGAUUUGGUAUUAAUACCACCAAAUUUUGAUGU